rnacentral:rRNA from 1 species
GUGAGGAAUUUUCCGCAAUGGGCGAAAGCCUGACGGAGCAAUGCCGCGUGAAGGAUGAAGGCCUAUGGGUUGUAAACUUCUUUUCUCAGAAAAGAAUUAUGACGGUAUCUGAGGAAUAAGCAUCGGCUAACUCUGUGCCAGCAGCCGCGGUAAGACAGAGGAUGCGAGCGUUAUCCGGAAUGAUUGGGCGUAAAGCGUCUGUAGGUUGUUUAAAAAGUAUUCUGUCAAAGAUUAGGGCUUAACCCUAGAUAGGCAGAAUAAACUUUUAAGCUAGAGUUUGGUAGAGGCAGAGGGAAUUCCCGGUGGAGAGGUGAAAUGCGUAGAUAUCGGGAGGAACACCAAAGGCGAAGGCACUCUGCUGGGCCAAUACUAACACUGAGAGACGAAAGCGAGGGGAGCAAAUGGGAUUAGAAACCCGGGUAGUCC